rnacentral:lncRNA from 1 species
ACUAUUACAAAUAGACUCACAUUGUACAAGUGUUAAGCUACAGCCGUUCGGCAUCCUAUGUAACAAAGAUCAUUUGGUAUGAAUUCAAUAAAGAGGUGAUUUAGCCAACUCGGCCAUAAACUCUUUUACAUUCUGAGCAAUGAAACACUCAAGUGUUGAAGCUUCAACGCAAAUGUUUCCAAUACAAAACAAAAUCUAAGUAUGUGUCAACAAGACUAUACAAAGGAUCUACAUCAUACAUUCCAACACAUUCAUACAUAAACAUCAUACAUUCCAACACAUUCAUAUAUAAACAUCAUACAUUCCAAUACAUUCAUACAUAAACAUCAUACAUUCCAACACAUUCAUGCAUAAACAUCAUACAUUCCAACACAUCUAUACAUAAGCCAACUGUGCUUCGAAAGGGUUCAACACACUUUGUGUCAUUCGACAUUUGCCACAA